rnacentral:miRNA from 1 species
CCACACACACACACACACACACACACACACACAAACACAAACACUAACACGUUUGUGUGUGUGUGUGUGUGUGUGUAUGG